CAGUAGCCGCGGUAAUACAGAGGGUGCGAGCGUUAAUCGGAUUUACUGGGCGUAAAGGGCUCGUAGGUGGUUUGUCGCGUCGUCUGUGAAAUUCUGGGGCUUAACUCCGGGCGUGCAGGCGAUACGGGCAUAACUUGAGUGCUGUAGGGGUAACUGGAAUUCCUGGUGUAGCGGUGAAAUGCGCAGAUAUCAGGAGGAACACCGAUGGCGAAGGCAGGUUACUGGGCAGUUACUGACGCUGAGGAGCGAAAGCAUGGGUAGCGAACAGGAUUAGAUACCCCUGUAGUCCCUGUCUCUUAUU
rnacentral:rRNA from 1 species